UACGUAGGGGGCCAGCGUUGUCCGGAUUUACUGGGCGUAAAGAGCGCGUAGGCGGUUUGGUCAGCGGAGGGUGAAAGCCCGGGGCUCAACUCCGGAACGGCUCUCCGAACUGCCAGACUAGAGUGCGGGAGAGGGCAGUGGAAUUCCUGGUGUAGCGGUGGAAUGCGUAAAUAUCAGGAGGAACACCGGUGGCGAAGGCUGCUGCCUGGAACGCAACUGACGCUGAGGCGCGAAAGCUAGGGGAGCGAACGGG
rnacentral:rRNA from 1 species